rnacentral:rRNA from 1 species
GACGAACCGGACAAACGUUAUUCGGAAUUACUGGGCUUAAAGGGUUUGUAGGCGGCCUUGUAAGUCAGGUGUGAAAUCCCUCGGCUCAACCGAGGAAUGGCGCUUGAUACUGCAAGGCUUGAGGGAGACAGGGGUAAGCGGAACUGAUGGUGGAGCGGUGAAAUGCGUUGAUAUCAUCAGGAACACCGGUGGCGAAAGCGGCUUACUGGGUCUCUUCUGACGCUGAGGGACGAAAGCUAGGGGAGCGAACAGG